CAGUCGCCACGGUAAUACGGAGGGAGCUAGCGUUGUUCGGAAUUACUGGGCGUAAAGCGCACGUAGGCGGCUUUGCAAGUUAGAGGUGAAAGCCUGGGGCUCAACCCCAGAAUUGCCUUUAAGACUGCAUCGCUAGAAUCCAGGAGAGGUGAGUGGAAUUCCGAGUGUAGAGGUGAAAUUCGUAGAUAUUCGGAAGAACACCAGUGGCGAAGGCGGCUCACUGGACUGGUAUUGACGCUGAGGUGCGAAAGCGUGGGGAGCAAACAGGAUUAGAUACCCCAGUAGUCCAUGUCUCUUAUAC
rnacentral:rRNA from 1 species